ACUUAAAUAGCUUAUGUAGAGCAUGAUGUUGAAGUUAUCAAGGAAAUUAAUUAUUUUUAAGUA
rnacentral:tRNA from 1 species